UAUUCUAUCAUUUAAUCUCCAAUAGCCGGCAGUACAUUUUUUAAAGAAGAUUUCGAUAAUACAUAUAAACUUUUUCAUUUAAUAAAACGCAGAAGAACCUGAAUUUCGAACACCAGUUUCAUCUUAUCUGGCAAAAGUUGAAUCUGCUUCUGUCGCAACAGCUUUUGCUAGGUUGACUUUACUGUUCCAGGUGGGCCAUAUAACCAAAAGCUUU
rnacentral:lncRNA from 1 species